AAAACGAGAAAAAUGGUAGGAUAGGGUACGAGAUGAGAGGAGACGAGACGAGCGAUUUCGAUAGAACACUGAGGCCGGGUUUAGCGUGUCCGGCAACACGGUUUUGCUGUAUCAAGACCUCGUAAUCGUAGGGGGAGGGCACGGUGAUUGGCAAUGACAAUGUAAUUUUUAUAAAAAAGAUGAAAGAGUAACGAUGAUGAUGACAAUGAUGACGAUAGCAGUAAUAAUAAUAACAAUAAUAGUAAUAAUAACAAUAAUAACACUAAUAAUAAAAUACUAAU